UACAGAGGUCUCAAGCGUUGUUCGGAUUCAUUGGGCGUAAAGGGUGCGUAGGUGGCGCGGUAAGUCGGGUGUGAAAUCUCGGAGCUUAACUCCGAAAUUGCAUUCGAUACUGCCGUGCUCGAGGACUGGAGAGGAGAAUGGAAUUCCUGGUGUAGCGGUGAAAUGCGCAGAUAUCAGGAAGAACACCCGUGGCGAAGGCGGUUCUCUGGGACGGUACUGACGCUGAGACGCGAAAGCGUGGGGAGCGAACAGG
rnacentral:rRNA from 1 species